rnacentral:precursor_RNA from 1 species
AUAAGUAGUACUCCCUCCGUUCCAAAAAAAAACCUAACUCUAGAUUUAAAUCUGGACAUAGUGUAUAUCCAAAUUCAAACCCAGAAUUUAAUUUCUUUUUUUGACAGAGGGUGUAUAUUACUAUAUAUUAUAUCACUUUCAUCUUCGUGCACUUGCUGGCGCUGCCAACUGUGCCACGUAGACUACCAUUAAGCUCCUUUAAUUAACUCGAUCUACUUCUGACAGAUGUACUCCUAUAUAGUAUGACAGUGCUCUCUCGUCUACCUGCAAUGCAAAUUGGAGUAAACCCCUAGCUAGAAGAGGCUAGAGAAGAGCAAAUCUCUCCCUUCUCCCUUGUGUCCAAUGCAUCUCUUGAAUUUACUGUACUCUGGAGUAGAAGAUACGAACAAUGCUCAGUAGUACAGUAAAUCCAUGGAUGGAACGGUAGAGUCGGUGUUUGCGGGCGUGGCAUCAUCAAGAUUCACAUCCAUGCAUAUAUCACAAGACGCACAUAUACAUCCGAUUUGGCUGAGAAUCUUGAUGAUGCUGCAUCCGCAGACAAGCGCCUUUUUUUCUUUUCAAAGGUAAGCUCCUCUGCUAUUCAAAGACCAUACAUUAGUUGUUCAUCAUCUUCAUCCUUGUUACUCCCUCCGUUUCACAAUGUAAAACAUCCUAGCAUUUUUCACAUUCAUAUUGAUACUAAUGAAUCUAGACAUCUUACAUUGUGAAACGGUGAAACGGAGAGAGUAUUAUAUAUGGC